GACGAACCGUGCGAACGUUGUUCGGAAUCACUGGGCUUAAAGGGCGCGUAGGCGGGCGGGCAAGUCGGAGGUGAAAGCCCCCAGCUCAACUGGGGAAGUGCCCUCGAUACUGCUCGCCUGGAGGGAGGUAGGGGCGUGCGGAACUUCCGGUGGAGCGGUGAAAUGCGUAGAUAUCGGAAGGAACACCGGUGGCGAAGGCGGCACGCUGGGCCUCUCCUGACGCUGAGGCGCGAAAGCCAGGGGAGCGAACGGG
rnacentral:rRNA from 1 species